rnacentral:rRNA from 1 species
AUGCGGUAUGACGGUACCCUUUCGAAUAAGAGGUUGCUAACUCUGUGCCAGCAGCAGCGGUAAUACAGAGACCUCGAGCGUUAUCCGGAUUUACUGGGCGUAAAGCGUCUGUAGGGGGUUUGUUAAGUUCCAAGUAAAAUCUUAAGGCUCAACUUUAAGUUCGCUUGGAAAACUAAUAAACUGGAGUCCAGCAGAGGUGCAUGGAACUUGCGGUGUAGGAGUGAAAUCCGUUGAUAUCGCAAGGAACACCAAAGGCGAAGGCAUUGCACUGGGCUGGUACUGACCCUGAGAGACGAAAGCGUGGGGAGCAAAACGGAUUAGAUACCCGUGUAGUCCACGCCGUAAACGAUGGAUACUAGAUGUUCGGGGAUUCGACCCCCUGGGUGUCACAGCUAACGCGUUAAGUAUCCCGCCUGGGAAGUACGGCCGCAAGGCUAAAACUCAAAGGAAUAGACGGGGAUCCGCACAAGCGGUGGAGCGUCUGGUUUAAUUUGGUAGUAAGCAAUGGACCUCACCAAGGUUUGACAUCCUAUGACAACCCUGGAAACAGGGCUUCCUUCGGGCAUAGUGACAGGUGCUGCAUGGUCGUCGUCAGUUCGUGCCGUGAGGUGUUCCGUUAAGUCGGGAAACGAACGAAACCCUCGUCGCAUGUUACAAAUUUCAUGCGAGACUGCCCGGGUCGACCGGGAGGAAGGCGGGGAUGACGUCAGAUCAGCAUGGCCCUUAUACCUUGGGCUACACAGGCGCUACAAUGGCCGGUACAAAGGGUUGCAAAACCGCGAGGUGAAGCUAAUCCCAUAAAGCCGGUCCAAGUUCGGAUUGGAGGCUGCAACUCGCCUCCAUGAAGUUGGAAUCGCUAGUAAUCGUGGAUCAGCCAUACCACGGUGAAUACGUUCCCGGAUCUUGUACUCACCGCCCGUCACACCAAGAGAGUUGGUAGCUCCUGAAGC